rnacentral:rRNA from 1 species
GAAACUUAGUGGCGGACGGGUGAGUAACGCGUGGGUAACCUGCCUCAGUACAGGGGGAUAACAGUUAGAAAUGACUGCUAACACCGCAUAAUAUAGCGAAACCGCAUGAUUUUUGCUAUCAAAUAUUUAUAGGUAUGGAGAUGGGCCCGCGUCUGGAUUUAGCUAGUUAGGUGGGGUAAAAGCCUACCAAGGCGACGAUCAGUAGCCGGCUUGAGAGAGUGACCGGCCACAUUGGGACUGAGACACGGCCCAAACUCCUACGGGAGGCAGCAGUGGGGAAUAUUGGACAAUGGGGGAAACCCUGAUCCAGCCGACGCCGCGUGAGUGAAGAAGUAUUUCGGUAUGUAAAGCUCUAUCAGCAGGGAAGAUAAUGACAGUACCUGACUAAGAAGCCCCGGCUAACUACGUGCCAGCCGCGGC